rnacentral:rRNA from 1 species
GCUUUUGUACACACCGCCCGUCGCUACUACCGAUUGAAUGAUUUAGUGAGGUCUUCGGACUGGUACGCUGCAUCGACUCUGUCGUUGCCGAUGCUACCGGAAAGAUGACCAAACUUGAUCAUUUAGAGGAAGUAAAAGUCGUAACAAGGUUUCCGUAGGUGAACCUGCGGAAGGAUCAUUA